UACGUAGGGGGCUAGCGUUGUCCGGAAUCAUUGGGCGUAAAGCGCGCGUAGGCGGCCCGGUAAGUCCGUUGUGAAAGUCAAAGGCUCAACCUUUGAAAGCCGAUGGAUACUGCCGGGCUGGAGUCCGGAAGAGGCGAGUCGGAAUUCCUGGUGUAGCGGUGGAAUGCGCAGAUAUCAGGAGGAACACCAAUAGCGAAGGCAGCUCGCUGGGACGGUACUGACGCUGAGGCGCGAAGGUCAGGGGAGCAAACGGG
rnacentral:rRNA from 1 species